AUUUUCUAUGUAGUCUGAACACACUCGAUUUUGUCUGAUCUCAGAAGCUAAGCAGGCUCAGGCCUGGUUAGUACUUGGAUGGGAGAAUUUUCUGUGCAGUCUUUGUCCCAGGAAAGU
rnacentral:rRNA from 1 species